AUACAGCAAUAUCCACAGCAGAACUCACUCUCGUUAGGCUGAGGAUUUCGUAGAGAUACACCAAGUAAAUCCCCUGUGAAUCAGCUCCAUUGCUGAUGUCUGCAGCCGCAGGAAAGUGCCUCAGGACCUGAUUGCUCCCAUGGAAACAUGAACCAGCAAAGAGGAAAGAUUAAAGCUUGAGUGCCUACUAACCUGCCUCAUCCCUUUGCAAGGCUGAAUGCAUAGAAAGGUGACCAGUCCUGUGAGGUGCACGGGCUUACCAUCCCAACUUUUGUGAAACUAAGACAGUGAUCAACCCCAGAAGGCAUUCCUGGGAAACCCACCGGCCAUUUGUGCAGAGAAGCAGAUAGACUAACUACAUAACUUCAAUUCUAUCUACAAAUGGACCUAACAGAUAUUUACAGAACAGUUACUCAAACACAAAAGUAUAUACCUUCUCCUCAGCAGCUCACAGAACUUUCUCCAAAAUUGAUCCACAUAAUUGAAACAAAGCCAGUCUCAACAAAGAUGAGAAAAGUUGAUAUAACACCCUGCAUCUACCUGACUACAACAGAUAAAACCUGAAUACCAACAACAGAAACAGCAGAAAGUUUAGAAACUCAUGCAAAUGGAGUUACUCACUAUUGAAGAAAAAAAUGUACCAAUCCAGAAAUGAACAAAAAAUUAAAGACUUUUUGGAGUUAACUUUCAUUGUGGCAAAAGUUAUCCACUGGGCAACAAAAUGCCCUCUUAUCAACUGCUGAUAGUAUGCUAUCCAAAAUGGACAGACAGGCCACAAAUCAAAGGACUACUGAUCCUUACCAAGACAAGUGUGGUUGCAGCUUUAACAACAGCCAUCCUCAGAG